CCAUUUCUAAGUAGCAACAUUCCAGCAUCACUUGCAUACGGGGUAUAUAUCUCCCAAUUGAUACGAUAUUCCCGUGCUUGCAUUUCCUAUCAUGAUUUUCUUGAUAGAGGGUUGCUGCUCACAAGGAAGCUAUUAAACCAAGAGUUCCAAAUGGUGAAGUUGAAAUCAUCCCUUCGUAAAUUUUACGGACGCCAUCACGAGUUGGUUGACCGUUAUGGAAUAACUGUUUCACAAAUGAUAUCGGAUAUGUUCCUUACGUCGUAACUACAAUCCCCUUCCCGUUCAUGAAUGUGACCUACCGAAUUAGACUAUUUACCGGAUUUGUUAUCACAUAAGCAGCACGACGGGUGCCGCAUGUGGAGCAGGAUCUGCUUACCCUUCCGGAGCACCUGAGAUCACCCCUAGUUUUUUGGUGGGGUUCGUGUUGUUUAUUCUUUAGUUUUCUAUGUUGUGUCGUGUGUGCUGUUGUUAGUUUGUCUUUUUCAUUUUUAGCCAUGGCGUUGUCAGUUUGUUUUAGAUUUAUGAGUUUGACUGUCCCUUUGGUAUCUUUCGUCCCUCUUUUAUGUC
rnacentral:lncRNA from 1 species